GGGAAUGCUGCUGAGCAUGCAAGUGCAAUCAUGUUUGCUGUAAAGGAUAAGCUUGACAUCAGUCUUGGAGUAGCAAUUGGCUCUUCUAUGCAAAUAUCCAUGUUUGUGGUGAGGCAAAUGUUGAUCGCAAUUCUAUGUGAAUCUGAACUGAAGUUAGCAGAUGAAACAAUCGAACAAAUACUUUAUAAGAUCGAGCUGGAAUCUGCAAACUCUGAAAUUCAGAAAUAGCAUUCUUCAUUUCAAGAUGAGUCUUUUAUAUCCCCAGCUACUACUCCAGAACCUAAAUUGGUGGUUAACUAUAUCCGAACCUUAAGGUCAUCAAACAAGUCACUGAAAGAGCAGCUAGAAAAAGCAAAGAAGAAAGAAGCUGCCUUUAUUGUGACAUUUGCCAAACGAGAGCAAGAAGUGGCAGAAUUAAAGGUCAGUUUAUAUUCCCAUUUGUUUCACCUCGAGCAUCCUGAGCGUAGUUACUCCAUUAGGUUAGAAAGGCAAUCACCCUCUUUAUUUGCUUUCAUAUUGAUGAUUGUAAAUGUCUAUAAAGAUUUUUACUUGCUUUCACUUCUAUGGAGCUAAGAAGUUGAUCAUUACCCCUCUCCAUGCUCUAUAAUCUUGGAUGGGGGCACAAUCGCGGAACCACUUUUGCAGUCAAUGCGGAUGAUUGACUGCUAUUGCAGCUUGAUAUGUCAGUUGGUUAUCUCAUAAACACUUACCAUGCUGUGAGGUUUCUCAAAUUCCUUUACAACGGUGAUAUGGGCAUGCAGCUGAUUGUAAAAUUGGAACACAAUCAAUAUAUAGACCCUAGCUUGACUGUUCGUGAUAGUAUUGUCUCUAAAAAUCUAAUAUGCACAAUAAAUAUAUUGACCUACCUUGACUGUUUAUGAUAGUAAUCUCUUUGAAAAUCUAAUAUUUAAAUCCUACUUGAGAUUGUCCUACAUGUUCACCAGCACGACACCACAGCAGCUCACCAGUACCGCAACACAGAGGACCACGCAGCAGCAGCAGAACCCAGCAAACACAGCAGCCU